CAGCCGCCGCGGUAAAACGAAGGGGGCUAGCGUUGUUCGGAAUUACUGGGCGUAAAGCGCGCGUAGGCGGACAUUUAAGUCAGGGGUGAAAUCCCGGGGCUCAACCCCGGAACUGCCUCUGAUACUGGGUGUCUAGAGUUCGGAAGAGGUAAGUGGAACUGCGAGUGUAGAGGUGAAAUUCGUAGAUAUUCGCAGGAACACCAGUGGCGAAGGCGACUUACUGGUCCGAUACUGACGCUGAGGUGCGAAAGCGUGGGGAGCAAACAGGAUUAGAUACCCCCGUAGUCCCUGUCUCUAUACC
rnacentral:rRNA from 1 species